rnacentral:sRNA from 1 species
AAACAUACAUGUACCUGAGUCACCAUGUUGGAGAGUGAAGAAAGCUGAUCUGCAUAAAAACUCGAAGAAUUUAACAGCAGCUCUGGACAAACAUGGAGUGACUAACACAGAGAAAUAGACAAUGCCAUCCAAAAACUGAUAUGUGACGUGGAUGAAAUGGAAUCCAAACACUUUGUCCUUGACAAGCAGGAAAAUGAAAUAAAUCGCAGUAUUUCUGAAAUUCAACGGACCAUUGCUGAUCUGAAGAAAUUGCUGAACUUCAAUGAUGUCAGCCUAGUAUCAUGAGUAUCAACCUACAAAUCCAGGAUUUCUGAAUUCAGAAGAUUAUCUUCUAAACUAACAGUUUCCUUACCAAGAUUCACCCCUCAGUAGAUUAACAAAGAACAAAUGUAUCAGCAGAUCGGUUCUCUCUCAGCGUUAUCUAUCAAAACAGAAGAACGUGGCUACGCUAUGGAUUCUCCUGGUGCCGAGUCCUCUCCCCCGGACAGACCGCUCAUUGAUAUACCACAGAUCCUUACAAAUAUAGACACGGUGUAUGGAGAAUCUAAAAACGUAUACAGUGUGUCCUGUACGAGCGAUGAUGAAAUAUGGACGUGUGGUGAGGACAACAUGAUGAGACUCUACAACCUCCAUGGUGAACUAGUGAAGUCCAUCCAAACCAAGUCAGGUAACACGCCAGUAGACCUAGCAGUGACAAAGAGUGGUGAACUAGUUUAUACUGAUCCCUAUGAUAAAACUGUGAACAUAGUGAAGAAUACACAGAUACAGACAUUGAUUAGACUACAGGGGUGGAGACCUCUCCAUGUCUGUAGUACCUCCUCUGGGGACCUCCUGGUUGUCAUGAUCACUAAUGAUAUGAAACAAAGAAAAGUUGUGCGUUACUCUGGCUCCACAGAGAAACAAACUAUCCAGUAUGAUGACGAAAGACAACCUCUCUAUUCAUCGAAUGUGAUUUUGUACCCUCUAUAUAUUAGAGAAAACAAGAACCUAGAUAUCUUUGUAGCUGACAAUAAGGCCAGUGCAGUAGUGGUGGUCAAUCAGGCCGGGAAACUCCGGUUUACCUACACCGGUCCUCCCUCUACUACCAAGAAACAAUUUUAUCCAGUCGGCAUUGCUACAGACAGCCAGAGUCGGAUCCUGACAGCAGACUAUAACAACGACUGUAUCCACAUCCUGGAUCAGGACGGACAGUUCCUCCGCUACAUUGACAACUGUCAUUUACAAGAUCCAUACUGCUUAUGUGUGGACACCAGAGAAAACCUCUUUGUAGCUGAACAUAAAACAGGUAAAGUAAAGGAAAUACAAUUUUACAUAUAAACAAACUGUGUGACACUGUGAAUAUCCAAUGCCAACAAUCAAUCAAUCAAUACACUGGAUACAGCAGGUAAUAUUUAGAACAUUGAAUUGGUCAUGUCUACAAAGAGAACAUCACAUGUAAAUGUAAAUAAAUCACCUGAAUGUGUC